rnacentral:rRNA from 1 species
UACCAGCACCCCGAGUGGUCGGGACGUUUAUUGGGCCUAAAGCAUCCGUAGCCGGUUCUACAAGUCUUCCGUUAAAUCCACCUGCUUAACAGAUGGGCUGCGGAAGAUACUAUAGAGCUAGGAGGCGGGAGAGGCAAGCGGUACUCGAUGGGUAGGGGUAAAAUCCGUUGAUCCAUUGAAGACCACCAGUGGCGAAGGCGGAUCUCUGGGCCUUACCUGACGCUCAGGCGCGAAAGCUAGGGGAGCGAACAGG